GUGGGGAAUAUUGCGCAAUGGGGGAAACCCUGACGCAGCAAUACCGCGUGAGUGAAGAAGGUUUUCGGAUCGUAAAACUCUUUUAUUGGGGAAGAAGAAGUGACGGUACCCAAUGAAGAAGUCCCGGCUAACUACGUGCCAGCAGCCGCGGUAAUACGUAGGGGACAAGCGUUGUCCGGAAUCACUGGGCGUAAAGGGCGCGUAGGCGGUUUUAUAAGUCAGAUGUGAAAGGUACCGGCUCAACCGGUGACGUGCAUUUGAAACUGUAAGACUUGAGUACUGGAGAGGCAAGUGGAAUUCCUAGUGUAGCGGUGAAAUGCGUAGAUAUUAGGAGGAACACCAGUGGCGAAGGCGGCUUACUGGACUGUAACUGACGCUGAGGCGCGAAAGUGUGGGGAGCAAACAGGAUUAGAAACCCUGGUAGUCC
rnacentral:rRNA from 1 species